rnacentral:rRNA from 1 species
AUUGAACGCUGGCGGCAGGCCUAACACAUGCAAGUCGAGCGAGCGGCGGACGGGUGAGUAAUGUCUGGGAAACUGCCUGAUGGAGGGGGCUAACUACUGGAAACGGUAGCUAAUACCGCAUACCAUCAGAUGUGCCCAGAUGGGAUUAGCUAGUAGGUGGGGUAACGGCUCACCUAGGCGACGAUCCCUAGCUGGUCUGAGAGGAUGACCAGCCACACUGGAACUGAGACACGGGCCAGAAUCCUACGGGAGGCAGCAGUGGGGAAUCUUGCACAAUGGGAGCAAGCCUGACGCAGCCAUGCCGCGUGUGUGAAGAAGGCCUUCGGGUUGUAAAGCACUUUCAGCGGGGAGGCGGUACCCGCAGAAGAAGCACCGGCUAACUCCGUGCCAGCAGCCGCGGUAAUAC